UUUCAGGUAUAUACCUGUAAUUAUUGGGGCACUGGGAUGUGUUACACGUUGUCUAAAUACCAGUCUUUAGAACUUAGGCUUCUCAAAACCAGAAAGGAGAAAGCUAAUUCGAAGUCUACAGAUCCAAUCCAUCACUAGAACUGUAAAAUUCUGUGAAACUUUUCAGAAUUUUAACAUUUAAAUA